CUUGAAAAGCAGCUGGGUUUGAAG
rnacentral:piRNA from 1 species